UGGGGAAUCUUCCGCAAUGGACGAAAGUCUGACGGAGCAACGCCGCGUGAACGAUGACGGCCUUCGGGUUGUAAAGUUCUGUUAUACGGGACGAAUGGCGUAGCGGUCAAUACCCGUUACGAGUGACGGUACCGUAAGAGAAAGCACGGCUAACUACGUGCCAGCAGCCGCGGUAAUACGUAGGUGGCAAGCGUUGUCCGGAAUUAUUGGGCGUAAAGGGCGCGCAGGCGGCGUCGUAAGUCGGUCUUAAAAGUGCGGGGCUUAACCCCGUGAGGGGACCGGAAACUGCGAUGCUAGAGUAUCGGAGAGGAAAGCGGAAUUCCUAGUGUAGCGGUGAAAUGCGUAGAUAUUAGGAGGAACACCAGUGGCGAAAGCGGCUUUCUGGACGACAACUGACGCUGAGGCGCGAAAGCCAGG
rnacentral:rRNA from 1 species